UUUCUCCCUGAAAGACCAAAUAUGAACACCAAAUGAAACCCAAUUAGUUUCUCUUCCACUAUCGAUCCCUAAUUUUGUCUAAUCCCUCUCAGAUCUAAAUCCCUCUUAGUCGAAAUCUCUCUAGAUCUCGAUCGUAUGUUUCUUAAUCGUCACAGACAUCAAUCGAAAUCAAAUUGUUGGAUUUGCGGAUCUGUAUGGAUUUGAAGUACAAGAGGAAUCCAUAUGCUUCAGACAUUGAGUAACUUUAAGGACGGUGAAGUCGUGCUUCUCCAGGAUAUCUGCAGAAAGGCAAGUGAUUGAAGAAUAAUACGAACAAAGCCUUGAGAGAAUGUCAUGAUUAUUUAUUCUUUGUUUGGUUGUUCUGUUUCAGGUUGCGAUUCAUCUUAUGGUUAACCAACUUCUUGGAUCUUUUUAUUUGUUGUUCAGGCACGAAAGGAAAUCAUAAGCAAGAUAAACAAGACGAUAGAGAAGCGGUUGCAGAACAAAGCAGCAUCAGAUACUGCUGGCGCUGGGAAUGGUGUACUUGGAAGAUUGCUUGAAGAAGAAAGCUUACCAAACGAAUCCAUGGCAGAUUUUAUCAUCAAUCUACUGUUUGCCGGAAAUGAAACCACCGCGAAAACAUCGUGCAAAUGAGCAGGAAGAACAUGAUAGGCUCGCAGGUGGAAUGCUAACAUGGCAAGAUUACAAGACAAUGGACUUCACUCAAUGCGUAAUAGAUGAGACACUCAGGCUUGGGGGAAUUGCAAUCUGGCUAAUGAGAGAGGCGAAAGAAGAUGUCUCAUACCAAGGUUCGUGAUAGCGU